GUUCGUGUCAUCUAUUGGUUUGGGCAUCUAAAAGCAAGCAUUACCAAUAGAGUAAUGUAAUUUAAACAUGUAUCGAUUUCUUUUUUUAUCGUAUUCUUUGAUACGAAUAUUAUUUUAAUUUUCGUCGAAAGCUAUGGUGUUAAAUUUCACUUGAAUCAAAUUUAAACUGUAAUUAAAAUCGUUGAACGUUGAUUAAAAGAUACACGCGAUUUAAGAGAAAAGAAUUAAUUGCUCAACAAUUUUUUGCCAUAUUUUCUGGAAAUCAUAAUCGACAUACAGACAAUAAUUAACUAAUAUAAACAAUGAUGUCAUAAAAGAUACGUUGGAAGAAUUUAUAAGAGUAGGAAAACGCAUGAUACACCACUGUAUGCAAACCUUCAGUGUGUCAGACGCUGCAUUGGCGACAGACAGGGUGUUUCAUAACACGCAUUAAUUAUUCUCGCAAGAGUGGGCAAACCAAUAAAUUAUACUACUGCCAUAUGCAAUAUUGUUUGUACAUUUCGUAUGCCAAAUUUAAUAUUUCGGUUAAUUGCACAUAACAUAUAAAGUUGCUAUAAGAUGUUAUUCUCAUUUUGAACUCGACUUCAAAAUUGAUUUUUAAACAGAAAAGGAUAUACGUACGUAUGAUGGAAUGUAAAAUAGAUUUACGUUUUUCAA